GAAAUUGAAAUCUGUCAUUCCUGCUGCGGAAUAUGGGGUAUCAUCACAUAUUAUCCUUGGUUUCGGUUACUACAGCUACGACUUCAAGGACUCUUACAACACCCUGAAGGCGACGGUUACGAAGCUGACGCCGGACGACGUGACCGUUGUGGUUAUUAUUACGUGCGUGUUGACGGUGCGCAGCCUAUCGACCUGCAACGCAAUGCCUACAAGUGCCUGGGAUCCAAAAAACAAUAUGGUCUCGUCCAUGGUGAAUACGUUGCCUAUGAAGACAAAAUCGUUCACUACCAAAGCAAAGAUAGUUGCUUUCGCAUUCCAGAUGGGCGUGUUGAACUACAACAUGUCCUCGACUUAUAAGAAGCCGGAAGACGCGGUGUAUAAGCCUUGCACCGGCUUUACAAUAGGUAGCUUUUCAGAGGUGAGCGUGUACGUCUACCGUGUAA
rnacentral:lncRNA from 1 species